GCGAGCUUCUCCGACACCCAACACGGCAGCCCCGAAGUUUCGAAUAAACUUCGCUUCAAACAGUGUAACGGCAAACAGUGAAGACGAAUUCUAUUGCAAUCGCGUCGAAUUGAAUAGCAAAGAUAACGGCGGCGUAGCAUUCGUACGUGUACACCGCGUCGUUAAACUUGACAUUGUCGGUCGGAAAGCCGAACUUGUCGAUGGCCGUGCCAUAAACCUACGACAAGUGCCUUAUUGCCACAGGUGGUAAACGAAAAUCUUUUCCAAUCCCUGAGCGGUGCCCUUAAAGAUGCCCACGAGCACAUAACGCUGUUCCGCAACAUCGAUGGCGGCAACAUAGGCCGAGUCCU